rnacentral:tRNA from 2 species
GUGCCCGUAGCUCAGCUGGAUAGAGCGUCUGACUACGGAUCAGAAGGUCCGGGGUUCGAAUCCUCGCGGGCACG